CUCCUUUCCUGUGCUUCUCUGUACAAACUCACUUCUUCUAUUCCUAUCUCAUCCAUCAAGAUCCUCUCUCCUUCGGAAGGCGUUUUCUUUUCCUUGAUAAAUCUCCAAUAUGCAGAUCUUCUCAAAAUCCUCGCCGAGGUCGAGAGCUCCAAUACCAUCGAUAACGUCAACGCCAAGAUCUAAGACAAGUAAAGCAUCCAUCCAGACAAGCAGCGCUUGAUCUUUGCCGGAAAGCAGCUGGAGGAUGGU
rnacentral:misc_RNA from 1 species